rnacentral:rRNA from 1 species
CGGGGGGGGCAAGCGUUGUUCGGAAUUACUGGGCGUAAAGGGCUCGUAGGUGGCCAACUAAGUCGGACGUGAAAUCCCUGGGCUCAACCCAGGAACUGCGUCCGAUACUGGUUGGCUUGAAUCCGGGAGAGGGACGUGGAAUUCCAGGUGUAGCGGUGAAAUGCGUAGAUAUCUGGAGGAGCACCGGUGGCGAAGGCGACGUCCUGGACCGGCAUUGACGCUGAGGCGCGAAAGCCAGGGGAGCAAACGGGA